AUGACAGUGUGACACCCUGUCUCAAAAAAAAAAGAAUAAGAACACUCACCAUCCCUAUCUUUAUGGACUGCCAGUAAAGGAAGAUGCAAAUAAAUCCAAAAGUAAUCCAUGUAACUAAGUAAAAUACAAAGAAAUAUAAAAUUAAUCACACUACCAAAGAAACAUAAUUUUCCAAUUGAUGUAGGCCUGAACACAUGCAUGUAACUACUCUUUUUUCUGAAAUCUCACUAAAGAAUUCUGAAUGGAAUAGAAAAAACAAUUACAAAGUCUAAACCCUGAAAGACAAAACAGAAUGACAAAGGAGAUGAUAUUAAUGAUAUCUGGAGAGUUGGAUGGCAGAUAGACAACCAGGUCCAGUAAAGGUCAAAACCAAGAAUCUCCUCCCACACCAAUAGAUUCUCAAAACACGGUGCACUUGAUCAGGCUAUCAGAAUUACCUAGAGCAGUGCAUAUUCUGAUGGAGAGAAUUCUCAUCCGAACAAUCCCGAAUUGCAUUUGAAAAUGUUCAAAAUUGUUGUGUGAUAGAUAAAUCCUUCAUUUGUGUUCAUUUGUUAGAAGCCAAUUCAGACAUUCAAAUGUCUUAACAUAUAAACAAACAAACAGACAAAAAAAAACUGAAAAAAGAAUCGCAUUUAAUUUGACCAGAGGACACGUGUUUCUCUUAGCUGUGGAUUUUUUUUUUCACUUUUAUUUUGUUUCCUUUCAGAACAUAAACUUCAUUCUAAUCCUGUUAUUUUGUUCUUAAUAUUUAUCAUCCUCUAAAGAGAUGUUAGAAUGUUUAUGUACAAGCUAGGGAAAUGGUAAAGUAAUAUUAUUCAGUGAGAUUUAUUUAUGAAGCCAGUAAAACCUGCAAAAAGGUUUCCUUUGACCAUUUAAAACUUUACAGCUCUAUUGCAACUUAGUAAAUGUGCAAGAGCUUUGUUGCCCAGUAAAUACAUUUAUGUCACAUAAAGAUCACUGAAAUUUCAAACCAGCCACCUCUCAUUAUUGUUACUAAGGAAAA